UGAGGAAUAUUGGUCAAUGGGCGCAAGCCUGAACCAGCCAUCCCGCGUGCAGGAAGACGGCCCUAUGGGUUGUAAACUGCUUUUCCAGGGGGGAGAAUUUUUCUGUCGUGACAGGAAUUGACGGUACCCUGGGAAUAAGCAUCGGCUAACUCCGUGCCAGCAGCCGCGGUAAUACGGAGGAUGCGAGCGUUAUCCGGAUUAUUGGGUUUAAAGGGUGCGUAGGCGGAUUGAUAAGUCAGUGGUGAAAACCUGCAGCUUAACUGUAGACUUGCCGUUGAUACUGUCAGUCUUGAGUGUGGUCAAGGUAGGCGGAAUGUGUAAUGUAGCGGUGAAAUGCUUAGAUUUUACACAGAACACCGAUUGCGAAGGCAGCUUACUGGGCCAUUACUGACGCUGAUGCACGAAAGCGUGGGGAUCGAACAG
rnacentral:rRNA from 1 species